rnacentral:rRNA from 1 species
CCUACGGGAGGCAGCAGUGGGGAAUAUUGCACAAUGGGCGCAAGCCUGAUGCAGCGACGCCGCGUGCGGGAUGGAGGCCUUCGGGUUGUAAACCGCUUUUGUUCAAGGGCAAGGCACGGUCUUUGGCCGUGUUGAGUGGAUUGUUCGAAUAAGCACCGGCUAACUACGUGCCAGCAGCCGCGGUAAUACGUAGGGUGAAAGCGUUAUCCGGAUUUAUGGGGCGUCAAGUGCUCGUGGGAUGUUCGUCGCGUAGGGUUGGAAAUUCCAGCGGUUAACGGUGGAUCCGCCCCGGGUACGGGCGGGCUUGAGUGCGGUAGGGGAGACUGGAAUUCCCGGUGUAACGGUGGAAUGUGUAGAUAUCGGGAAGAACACCAAUGGCGAAGGCAGGUCUCUGGGCCGUUACUGACGCUGAGGAGCGAAAGCGUGGGGAGCGAACAGGAUUAGAUACCCGAGUAGUC